GUCCGGGUGGCGGAAUAGGUAGACGCGCUAGCUUGAGGUGCUAGUGCCCGUUAAGGGCAUGGAGGUUCAAGUCCUCUCUCGGACACCA
rnacentral:tRNA from 1 species